AUCUGUUUGAACACAAACAAAUCUGAUGCCACAGAGCCCAGAGAAGACAACACCACUUCUGGACAAGGUCAACAUAAGGCUUCUUUUUUGCACAAUAAACUUUUAAGUGGCAUUCCUGAAUGUAUUGUAGUGCUUAGGAAAGUAU